UACGGAGGAUGCAAGCGUUAUCCGGAAUGAUUGGGCGUAAAGCGUCCGCAGGUGGCUGUGUAAGUCUGCUGUUAAAGAGUCUAGCUCAACUAGAUAAAAGCAGUGGAAACUACACGGCUAGAGUACGUUCGGGGCAGAGGGAAUUCCUGGUGUAGCGGUGAAAUGCGUAGAGAUCAGGAAGAACACCAGUGGCGGAGGCGCUCUGCUAGGCCGUAACUGACACUGAGGGACGAAAGCUAGGGGAGCGAACAGG
rnacentral:rRNA from 1 species